ACAUGAAAAGCCAAACCCCAGGAGAGAACGGAUCCAAAAAGGAGAAAUACCCCGGUCUUCUUCCCUAUAAAAACACACAGGCAACAUCAAAACACCGAAACAAGCAUCCCAAAGAUCCUAUAAGCCUAAAGCAUUCAAUUCCAAUCCAAUAACCGCUGGAACAGAACUCGGGAGCCGAUUCUGUACACAAUAGUCAAAUCCAAUUAUGUCUCCUGGAGGUGUCUUACAGAUGGUGGAUCUAAACAGUCCCAGCGAUGGAUACACACACACACACACACACACACACACAAAAAAUCAUCUGUGCUGCUUUUUUUCCCCAAGACUACAAAAACCAGGUUUACUAUAGUGCGGAAAUGAGUAACGAAUGAGCUCCACCAGGCUGGAAAUUGAUUAAUGUUUCUGCAAUCAUCUCCAUAUUAGUUUAGCUGAAUGGCAUUGCUGUUGAGCUGGACACUAACAGCUGUAAUUAUAGCAAUAAAUAGAGGUAAGCCUGUCCAUGGUAGAUACACAAGAACUGAUGGGCUCUCAACGGAAGGAAAAAAAGCCAGUUUAGGUGUGGUUUUAUUGUUAGGCAUGUUACUUUACACUUUCUUACAGAAGCCGCCGUCGAGGGAUGGGAAAAUUGGGCCGUGCCUGGAGCCUGUAUGUGCCAGACUGAGCUCGUGUGAGAUUUGAGGAGAUAAUUGUAUCGUGACUUACAGCGAGAGGGACUUGCGGAUGGUGCUCACAAGGGGGUACGGGUUGGGUUUGUGCAAUCUGCUUCUAGCUGAAGCAACUUUCCUCGUUUACAGCCUCUUUGUAAAUUCAAUUUUAAGGUUUAAACAAAUCACAAUCAACAUUGUACUAGACUGCAGAAACCUGCCGGAAAACGAAUGUGAGAAACUAGUGCACGUCUGUUUCUGGGGUGAGCUACACAGGUUAUACACGCAGUUUAACAGCCUUUCGAACAUGUAACACCCUCAAGAGCGAAUCUUCCCUUGAUCAUUUAACAAAUGAGCACAGAUAGAUCCUCUCCCAGUCUGACUGAACAGCAGUGCAGUAGGGCAGUUCUUGCUUGACUUCUAGCAUGUCCCCGUAGAGCACCGAUGUGUCUCUGUGGUGUUAUGUAAUUUCUCAUUUCUGGCUUAGUGGAUUUGAAGUAAGAAAUAAAGUUUCUCCAAGUGA